GAUUUCUCUUCCUCCCUGCAUGAAACAAAAGAAAUAAAUAUCGUCAUAAAACUUGGAAUUUGAAGCUUAAUUAACAUUGUUUGAUUCUUAGGAAGCUUCAAUUGCACAAAAGAGGUUGAGAUUGGCUUGAGGCAGUAAGCUUGCUUAAGCUUGGUGCAUUGAGCUUUGGGGAUCAAAAGACGUUUUCAGAUCUCUGUUUCUACUCGUGCUGAAAGAUGAAGAUAAAGAUGAUGUUUUGCUGCUCGUGUUGAAGAUGAAGAUGAUGUUUGGUGCUCGUGUUGGUGAUGAAAUCUUUUUAUCUUGAUGCUUGUGUUGAAAUCUUUUUUUUUGUUUUACUGCUGCUAUUAAAGAUGAUGAAAACGAUAAAUAUGAUGAAGACGAUGAAGACGAUGAUGUUGUUGUUGAAGACGACGAAGAUGAUGAAGAUGUUGUUGUUGCAGUUCAUUCCAGAAAUGAACUCUGUUUUAUAUAGGUCUUUAUUAGGAGUUCUUUCCAGAAAUGAACUCUGGUUUAUAUAGGUUUUUAUCAGGAGUUCAUUUUAGAAAUGAACUCUGUUUUUUUUUUUUAUCAGGAGUUCAUUCCAGAAAUGAAAUUUGGU